rnacentral:rRNA from 1 species
GACGAACGCUGGCGGCGUGCCUAAUACAUGCAAGUAGAACGCUGAAGGAGGAGCUUACUUCUCUGGAUGAGUUGCGAACGGGUGAGUAACGCGUAGGUAACCUGCCUGGUAGCGGGGGAUAACUAUUGGAAACGAUAGCUAAUACCGCAUAAGAGUAGAUGUUGCAUGACAUUUACUUAAAAGGUGCAAUUGCACCACUACCAGAUGGACCUGCGUUGUAUUAGCUAGUUGGUGGGGUAACGGCUUACCAAGGCGACGAUACAUAGCCGACCUGAGAGGGUGAUCGGCCACACUGGGACUGAGACACGGCCCAGACUCCUACGGGAGGCAGCAGUAGGGAAUCUUCGGCAAUGGACGGAAGUCUGACCGAGCAACGCCGCGUGAGUGAAGAAGGUUUUCGGAUCGUAAAGCUCUGUUGUAAGAGAAGAACGAGUGUGAGAGUGGAAAGUUCACACUGUGACGGUAUCUUACCAGAAAGGGACGGCUAACUACGUGCCAGCCGCCACAGUAA